CGCUAUCCAUUGGUUGACGAGAUAUGUGAGAAUAUCAAAGUAUGAAACAAGUCAUUCAAAUUGAGAUACAAGUGUAGGGAAUAUCGAUUAAUAUUUCAAGAAAGGUUACUUCUUUAGAUUAUGUUUAGUCUGAUUUUUUUACAAAUAACAAAGUACUGUUUGGCUGAGCUAAAUAUGAUGUAUAUCGACACUCUUUUGUAGUUCUUAUCGGUUUGAAUCUCAUUGUGUAAUCCAACAAUGAACGCGUAACUACAUUAGCAUCGCCGAACAGGAGAAAUUUUGUUGUGAUUCUCGAAGCUUGGUAAUUGAGAUCGUUUGUUGUAACAAUGCGUUAAAUCUAUCUAAGCAAGUCGAUAACACCGUUUCCUAGGAGGCAAAGUUGAUACAGGAAUUUCAUGUUUGUAUAGAAGUACGAUACUGUUGGCCGAAACAUAACGCACUAAUCUAGAGCUUCAUCAGAAAAAAAAAACAAGCUGAAGAGCGAUGGACAAAGGCACGGAAUCAAAAUAUACUAUUAUUAACUGCGAGGGACCACAUUCGGAAUUCGUAAUACUAGCUUCAACGGAGGGAAAAGAGUUUAUCGUAAAGCGUGAGCAUGCCUUUGUCUCGCCCAUCAUCAAAGCUAUGCUAUUGGGUCCAGGUGAAGUCUCCGAAUCCGAUACAAAUAUCAUCCAUUUUAAGGACAUUCCAGCUCCCAUACUCGAAAAAGUAUGUGAAUAUUUGGAUUAUAAACAUACCUACACGAACCACUUGGGGCCGAUUCCAGGAUUUUUCAUUUCAAAAGAUAUGGCGAUGGAGCUGCUGAUGGCUGCCGAUUUCUUCCUUCUAUAAAAAUGGUCACCCGUUUGCAGACACUAAACAUUUGAAUCUGCGAUGCUACCGGUAUAGUCAGAUAUUAUUUUGUAAAGUACAAUUGAUUAUAUUGUUGUUAGUCAAGCUUUUUAACUAUUUGUAAUCAUACUCUAUCAUUAGAGUCGCCUAUUAUUUAGGCAUGACGAUAUCAUUGGAAAGGCAGCAGAAAAUGAUAGAAAUUUUACUAGUUAAUUUUAAUUGUGUUGUUAGAAUAAUUUGCAUGUGAAUAA